UACGUAGGGAGCAAGCGUUGUCCGGAAUCAUUGGGCGUAAAGCGCGCGUAGGUGGCUUCGUAAGUCCGUUGUGAAAGUCAAAGGCUCAACCUUUGAAAGCCGAUGGAUACUGCGGAGCUAGAGUACGGAAGAGGCGAGUGGAAUUCCUGGUGUAGCGGUGGAAUGCGCAGAUAUCAGGAGGAACACCGGUGGCGAAGGCGGUUCUCUGGGAAUAUCCUGACGCUGAGGAGCGAAAGUGUGGGGAGCGAACAGG
rnacentral:rRNA from 1 species